rnacentral:rRNA from 1 species
UACGUAGGGUGCGAGCGUUGUCCGGAAUUAUUGGGCGUAAAGAGCUUGUAGGCGGUUUGUCGCGUCUGCUGUGAAAAUCCGGGGCUCAACCCCGGACUUGCAGUGGGUACGGGCAGACUAGAGUGUGGUAGGGGAGACUGGAAUUCCUGGUGUAGCGGUGAAAUGCGCAGAUAUCAGGAGGAACACCAGUGGCGCAAGCGGCUAUCUGGACUGACAUUGACGCUGAGGCACGAAAGCGUGGGGAUCAAACAGG